rnacentral:tRNA from 1 species
ACCCGUCUAGCUCAGUCGGUAGAGCGCUGGCCUUUUAAGCCAGUGGUCGUGGGUUCGAUUCCCACGGGGGGUG